ACGUAGGGAGCAAGCGUUGUUCGGAUUUACUGGGCGUAAAGGGCGCGUAGGCGGCGCGGUAAGUCACUUGUGAAAUCUCUGAGCUUAACUCAGAACGGCCAAGUGAUACUGCAGUGCUAGAGUGCAGAAAGGGCAAUCGGAAUUCUUGGUGUAGCGGUGAAAUGCGUAGAUAUCAAGAGGAACACCUGAGGCGAAGGCGGGUUGCUAGGCUGACACUGACGCUGAGUGCGCGAAAGCCAGGGGAGCAAACGGGA
rnacentral:rRNA from 1 species